UACGUAGGUGACAAGCGUUGUCCGGAAUCAUUGGGCGUAAAGCGCCCGCAGGCGGCCGUGCACGUGGGGUGUGAAAGCGCUCGGCUUAACUGAGCGAGGCCAUCCCAUACGGCGCGGCUCGAGCCGUCCAGAGGCCGGUGGAAUUGCCGGUGUAGUGGUGAAAUGCGUAGAGAUCGGCAGGAACACCCAGGGGGAAACCAGCCGGCUGGGGACGUGCUGACGCUCAGGGGCGAAAGCGUGGGGAGCGAACCGG
rnacentral:rRNA from 1 species